rnacentral:lncRNA from 1 species
UUGACACCAAGUUUACCUAAAAAUUUCACGGCAGCUGUGCCUUGCAUCAUCUAAUGCCCGCCAUAUGUUUGUUGACAAUUUGGAUUCUGCUCAGAUGCCAAGUUCAACCAUCAAGUACAAUGGACGGUUGAUAAGAAGAUACCCUUUGUUUUUCUUGUUCAGGAGAAUGAAAAGGCACACUCUAUCUUCUUUCUUCAAAUAAUGAAGUUCAACCAUUAAGUACAAUGGACGGUUGAUAAGAAGAUACCCUUUGUUUUUCUUGUUCAGGAGAAUGAAAAGGCACUCUCUAUCUUCUUUCUUCAAAUAAUGAAGUUCACACGAGUGUUGGUGAUCUGCUGGUUGGCCAGGAGCACUUUCAUAUGUCUCGACUCUGGCAGUCUAUGGUGGACCGAAACACUACUGGUUAAUGGUCAUAUUAUUCGUCGCACAACUGUCGCCGGACUGAAAUUCAAUUGCAGGUUCACCAUUUGUCUCGAUCGCUUGAUGUUGAGGUGGCCGUGAUUGAGAGAUUUGGCAUAUGUGUAAUGCAAAAUAUGGCGGAGGACAGAUGUAAUGUAGGCGUAAUUUGAUACUUAUGCUGCGAGUUUGCGAGAGAGCAGAUGCCAUAUUUAAGGCCGAAAGUCUCCAACUUGGUAGGAGUUUUUUUCAUGGAAUUUCUCAACUUCUCUAUGCGGAAACACUCUCUUGCACCACAUCCAUUUUGCCCUUAUAAAGAAAAGACGCGUUGAAAGCCAUGCCCAUUCAGUAGUAAUGGGAUAAAAUAGUUCGACCGAUUGAAUUUCCUUCUUUUUCACUUUCCCGGUCAAGACCCAUUUUCUCCUCACUCCUACGAUGAACAAAGCAUUGAAUGGAUUGUCACUUGUGCAAUGAAGUAACGUGGCAAAGGUUGUAUGUGAUUAACUUGGAACAAGAGUAAUUUAUGCCUGGUCUUUAAUUCACGUUAUUAUUUGUAAGAGGGAUUUGUUGUUUUGAUAGCUGUGAUCCCCUCCAUGAUCCCAAGUUCACGACAUCAUUCUCUCCAAAUUAAUCCCACUUCAACCCUCACUGCAGAUCUCGCUUUCAGGAGAAAAAAAACUAAUUAAGGGUAAAAAAAAAAAAAUUUUCUGGCCGUAAAAAAUUUCUUUGCAAAAUUUUUUUACAGAUUCUUUGAAAAGAUCGCGUUUUCGUUUUCUGCCUGCCCGUUUGCGGAAAACAAA